rnacentral:rRNA from 1 species
UGGAAAGCUUUUGCGGUGUGGGAUGGGCCCGCGGCCUAUCAGCUUGUUGGUGGGGUAAUGGCCUACCAAGGCGACGACGGGUAGCCGGCCUGAGAGGGUGACCGGCCACACUGGGACUGAGAUACGGCCCAGACUCCUACGGGAGGCAGCAGUGGGGAAUAUUGCACAAUGGGCGCAAGCCUGAUGCAGCGACGCCGCGUGAGGGAUGACGGCCUUCGGGUUGUAAACCUCUUUCAAUAGGGACGAAGCGCAAGUGACGGUACCUAUAGAAGAAGGACCGGCCAACUACGUGCCAGCAGCCGCGGUAAUACGUAGGGUCCGAGCGUUGUCCGGAAUUACUGGGCGUAAAGAGCUCGUAGGUGGUUUGUCGCGUUGUUCGUGAAAACUCACAGCUUAACUGUGGGCGUGCGGGCGAUACGGGCAGACUAGAGUACUGCAGGGGAGACUGGAAUUCCUGGUGUAGCGGUGGAAUGCGCAGAUAUCAGGAGGAACACCGGUGGCGAAGGCGGGUCUCUGGGCAGUAACUGACGCUGAGGAGCGAAAGCGUGGGGAGCGAACAGGAUUAGAUACCCUGGUAGUCCACGCCGUAAACGGUGGGUACUAGGUGUGGGUUUCCUUCCUUGGGAUCCGUGCCGUAGCUAACGCAUUAAGUACU